AUGUCGAGUUUCAGAAGAACUCGUGGCGACUUGUUGUGGAGGAGCCUGGCUGCCCCAGCUUCAUCUCGCAAAGGGAUCAACUCGCUCGUCGCGCUCACUGCCUGGUCCAUUUGGAAGCACCGAAACGCCGCUGUCUUCGAUAAUGCCCGGCCCUCAAACGAUGAUCUUGCUCGCACAAUCAAAGACGAGGCCCGCCUGUGGGCACGUGCUGGAGCAACUAAGUUAGCAUCCAUCAUUCCUGUAACCUAAGAUCUAUUGUAG
rnacentral:rRNA from 1 species